AUUGAACGCUGGCGGCGGGCCUAACACAUGCAAGUCGAGCGGACGAAGGAAGCUUGCUCCUGUAUUCAGCGACGGACGGGUGAGUAAUUCCUAGGAAUCUGCCUGGUAUUUGGGGAUAACAUCCGUACACGAGCGCUAAUACCGCAUCCGUCCUGAUGUUGAAACUGAGGGUUCUUCGGACCUCGCGCUAUCAGCUGAGCCUAGGUCGGAUUAGCUAGUUGGUUGGGUAAAGGCCUACCAAGGCGACGAUCCGUAGCUGGUCUGAGAGGAUGAUCAGUCACACUGGAACUGAGACACGGUCCAGACUCCUACGGGAGGCAGCAGUAGGGAAUAUUGGACAAUGGGCGAAAGCCUGAUCCAGCCAUGCCGCGUGUGUGAAGAAGGUCUUCGGAUUGUAAAGCACUUUAAGUUGGGGGGAAGGGCAGUAAGUUAAUACCUUGAUGUUUUGACGUUACCAACAGAAUAAGCACCGGCUAACUUCGUG
rnacentral:rRNA from 1 species